rnacentral:lncRNA from 1 species
CACUUCUGCUCUCUUGCUUUGCUUCUUCCAGCCCACGGACUCUCCGCCCUGAGCCGCUUCACCAGAAACACCUCCUGCCCUGGUGUGGCCGCUGCCCCCCCGUUGGAGGCUGGGGCACUUCCAGCGCCCGAGGACCCCCUGAUGUGAGUGGUCUCAGUGGCACUGUGCUCUUCCAGCGGGUCAGGAUGCGAGGCUUGGGAAGCAGGGUGAAAGCUGUGCUUGCUGAACUGUGUCACAUCCUUCUCAGCCCAGGGCCGUGAGCUCUGGGAGGCUUAAAGAGGUUUGCAGUGCAGAGCAGUCAAGGUUUGGGAGCCCAAUGACUUCUGCAGAGUCGUGAAAAGAAAAUACCGGAAUGUGUCUAAAAUCUUGGUCUCCUAUACUGCCUAAAACACCUCCAGCAAAGCUACUGCACCAAGUUGAAUAUAGUCAUCAGGGAAAGGCAACAGUGGCAUCUGGAAACCAGGAAAACAGAGGAAUAAUAAAACUGAUAGGUCAGUGAGUAAUAAGGUCAGCUUUUCAACUGAAACUUGGCUGCAAGCCAACUAGCCCUCAUAAAACUGAAUUAACAAAACUGGGGCAGAUAAUCUUCUGUGCAGAGAAACGUAACACAGUGCAUGCAAGAAAAACUAAUCAAAACCAUAUUUACAUAGUGCUGAGCUCAGUAGUAGCACUUAGAUUUCCAGAAAGAUCUCAGAGUCGCUGCAGUUACCCUUCUGAAACCAUUUGCUCUGUGGAAGGCAGCAGCUCAAAAAGUCAACAAAAACUUAGUACUAUCUAGAAAAGUACUGAGAACAAGAGAGAUGGCCUUACUUCACUGUUCUGUGAAAACUUUGUACAUAUAUCAGCUAUAACUUGAGCAGUGGUACAGUUCAGGUCUCCACAUCUCAGCAGGACCUCAUGGUGUUAAAGAAGUUAUCCUUGUAACCAAAAUGAUCAAGGUGAUGGAGCAGCUGAGGGGGCUCUCACUUCAGACAUGCUAAAGCUGAAGGGGACAUCUGAGUGAGCCUUACAAAAUCAUGAAGGUGUUUGAACUGUUGACCUGAGUGUUAAACUGUUAUUUACCAAAGCCAGCAAUUUCAUCAGAAGGGGACA